AUUUAUAUAAUAUAUUCAGUAUAUUUGACUUCCAAUCAAAAGGUUUACAAUCUUUAAUAUAAAUA
rnacentral:tRNA from 1 species